CAGCCGCCGCGGGAAUACGUAGGGUGCAAGCGUUAAUCGGAAUUACUGGGCGUAAAGCGUGCGCAGGCGGUUAUAUAAGACAGAUGUGAAAUCCCCGGGCUCAACCUGGGAACUGCAUUUGUGACUGUAUAGCUAGAGUACGGCAGAGGGGGAUGGAAUUCCGCGUGUAGCAGUGAAAUGCGUAGAUAUGCGGAGGAACACCGAUGGCGAAGGCAAUCCCCUGGGCCUGUACUGACGCUCAUGCACGAAAGCGUGGGGAGCAAACAGGAUUAGAGACCCCAGUAGUCCCUGUCCUUAUACC
rnacentral:rRNA from 1 species